rnacentral:rRNA from 1 species
AGAGUUUGAUCCUGGCUCAGGAUGAACGCUGGCGGCGUGCCUAAUACAUGCAAGUCGAGCGAACGGACGAGAAGCUUGCUUCUCUGAUGUUAGCGGCGGACGGGUGAGUAACACGUGGAUAACCUACCUAUAAGACUGGGAUAACUUCGGGAAACCGGAGCUAAUACCGGAUAAUAUUUUGAACCGCAUGGUUCAAAAGUGAAAGACGGUCUUGCUGUCACUUAUAGAUGGAUCCGCGCUGCAUUAGCUAGUUGGUAAGGCAACGGCUUACCAAGGCAACGAUGCAUAGCCGACCUGAGAGGGUGAUCGGCCACACUGGAACUGAGACACGGUCCAGACUCCUACGGGAGGCAGCAGUAGGGAAUCUUCCGCAAUGGGCGAAAGCCUGACGGAGCAACGCCGCGUGAGUGAUGAAGGUCUUCGGAUCGUAAAACUCUGUUAUUAGGGAAGAACAUAUGUGUAAGUAACUGUGCACAUCUUGACGGUACCUAAUCAGAAAGCCACGGCUAACUACGUGCCAGCAGCCGCGGUAAUACGUAGGUGGCAAGCGUUAUCCGGAAUUAUUGGGCGUAAAGCGCGCGUAGGCGGUUUUUUAAGUCUGAUGUGAAAGCCCACGGCUCAACCGUGGAGGGUCAUUGGAAACUGGAAAACUUGAGUGCAGAAGAGGAAAGUGGAAUUCCAUGUGUAGCGGUGAAAUGCGCAGAGAUAUGGAGGAACACCAGUGGCGAAGGCGACUUUCUGGUCUGUAACUGACGCUGAUGUGCGAAAGCGUGGGGAUCAAACAGGAUUAGAUACCCUGGUAGUCCACGCCGUAAACGAUGAGUGCUAAGUGUUAGGGGGUUUCCGCCCCUUAGUGCUGCAGCUAACGCAUUAAGCACUCCGCCUGGGGAGUACGACCGCAAGGUUGAAACUCAAAGGAAUUGACGGGGACCCGCACAAGCGGUGGAGCAUGUGGUUUAAUUCGAAGCAACGCGAAGAACCUUACCAAAUCUUGACAUCCUUUGACAACUCUAGAGAUAGAGCUUUCCCCUUCGGGGGACAAAGUGACAGGUGGUGCAUGGUUGUCGUCAGCUCGUGUCGUGAGAUGUUGGGUUAAGUCCCGCAACGAGCGCAACCCUUAAGCUUAGUUGCCAUCAUUAAGUUGGGCACUCUAAGUUGACUGCCGGUGACAAACCGGAGGAAGGUGGGGAUGACGUCAAAUCAUCAUGCCCCUUAUGAUUUGGGCUACACACGUGCUACAAUGGACAAUACAAAGGGCAGCGAAACCGCGAGGUCAAGCAAAUCCCAUAAAGUUGUUCUCAGUUCGGAUUGUAGUCUGCAACUCGACUACAUGAAGCUGGAAUCGCUAGUAAUCGUAGAUCAGCAUGCUACGGUGAAUACGUUCCCGGGUCUUGUACACACCGCCCGUCACACCACGAGAGUUUGUAACACCCGAAGCCGGUGGAGUAACCUUUUAGGAGCUAGCCGUCGAAGGUGGGACAAAUGAUUGGGGUGAAGUCGUAACAAGGUAGCCA